rnacentral:tRNA from 2 species
GCGAGAAUAGCUCAGUUGGUAGAGCGCAACCUUGCCAAGGUUGAAGUCGCGGGUUCGAAUCCCGUUUCUCGCU